GCCUGAACUCCAGUAGGGCCCAAGCCAGCCAGGAAGGAGGAGGCAGCCAGAGUGGCCACCACUGCUCUCUUUAGCAGAAGACCCCCUGCUGCCAGGUACCACAUAUCCUGCCCUGGGUUGAACCAGGGUCUCCUCCAAGGGAAUCCAGGAGCACCACCAACUUUGAGCAACUGCAAGGGCCAGAAGCCAGAAAAUCUCAGUUAGCAGCACCAGUCUCUUUAAGGGCAAGGCACCUCAAGCCUGAAGUUCAUUUGACUUUGUAUGACAAAGCCUGUUUGAAACGUCUCUUGAGAUCCUGCAUAUUUGGAGAUUUGGGCCGAGGAAUGAUAGAAGAUCUUCU